rnacentral:rRNA from 1 species
AUGCACGCUGGCGGCGUGCCUAAUACAUGCAAGUCGAGCGCACGGACGAGAAGCUUGCUUCUCUGAUGUUAGCGGCGGACGGGUGAGUAACACGUGGAUAACCUACCUAUAAGACUGGGAUAACUUCGGGAAACCGGAGCUAAUACCGGAUAAUAUUUUGAACCGCAUGGUUCAAAAGUGAAAGACGGUCUUGCUGUCACUUAUAGAUGGAUCCGCGCUGCAUUAGCUAGUUGGUAAGGUAACGGCUUACCAAGGCAACGAUGCAUAGCCGACCUGAGAGGGUGAUCGGCCACACUGGAACUGAGACACGGUCCAGACUCCUACGGGAGGCAGCAGUAGGGAAUCUUCCGCAAUGGGCGAAAGCCUGACGGAGCAACGCCGCGUGAGUGAUGAAGGUCUUCGGAUCGUAAAACUCUGUUAUUAGGGAAGAACAUAUGUGUAAGUAACUGUGCACAUCUUGACGGUACCUAAUCAGAAAGCCACGGCUAACUACGUG